CCAAACAAAAAAAUGAAAUUCUAAAAUUAAUUCUAAAAUCCUUUUGCCUCUCUCUCAGCUUUCACCUAACAGCCAAAGUCAAAGCUUUUGUUUUCUUCUCUCCUCAAUCCGUCUCUCUCUAGUCUUCACACAUCAAAGCAAGUAAAGUCCUAAUCCCUCAAAAUUUCCUUAGAAAUCAUAUAACAUAAUCAUCCUUUAACUUGUUGAGCAAUUGAAUCUCCAAAUGACUUGAGUUUGACAAAAGAAAUUGAUGGGUCCCAAAAACUGGUUUCAUGAAGGUAAUUCAUAAUUUUUGCUUUUGGGUUUUUAAAUUUUUGUUAUAAUUGUUCUUUUGUUUCCAAUUUCUCUCCUAAAAUUAUUGAUAUCAUUAAUUUUUAACUUUUGUGUUGAAUUGUGAAUUUGGAUUUUUUAGAAAAUUAAUUGAAGAUAACCUUUUUUUUUUUUUUGGUUGGAUUUGAGAUGAUAAAAUAAUGCCUCCCAAUUGAAGAAGACCCAACUCCUACACGGCUGCACCUCUAGCUUUUGGCCAACCGCACACUGACUCAGUUUUGUAACCUCACCAAAAACAGAGGUUUGUGUUUUGCCAUUUUCUUCCAAUUGAAGAAGACCCAACUCCUACACGGCUGCACCUCUAGCUUUUGGCCAACCGCACACUGACCCAGUUUUGUAACCUCACCAAAAACAGAGGUUUGUGUUUUGCCAUUUUCUUUUCAUAUUAUUAUUAUUGCUUAUUUGUUUUUCUCUUGCUAUCUUUUUAAAAUUCUAAACUUUUUGUUUUGUGAUUUUUUAGUUACACUAGUUUCUCAGAAUAUAUCAUUGAGUUUUUUCUUUUUAAUUUUGUUUUACUUUUUUUUAGCAUAUUAUUCUUGUAAUCGUAGUACUAGAUAUAUAUUUAAUGGUGGUUACUAUUUUUUCUAAGAGCAAAACACAAUUAUAUUUUUGUUCUGAAUUCAUAUGCAGGCUGUGAAGAUAAAGAAUUUUUGGUGCAGGCCAUGAAGAUCAAGAAUUUUUGGUGCAGUGUUGAAGGCAACUUGAAGAUAUAGUACUAGAUUUGUUUUCCCUAAUUUUUUAUCAUUAGAAAAUAUACAAGUAUGACACAAAUAUACUUAUCAUUGUGUCUAAUUUUUUAAGUAAUUGGAUGUUCACAUAUUAUUACAUAAUUGAAUUAGAUGAACGAUGAAUUGUAUGUAUAAUUAGUAGCCUUUAAAAAUAUUGAGAAUAAAAAAUACAUUACAAGUAUCAAUUUUUCUAUCUUCAAUAAUCUUACAAAGAUGCUAUGGUAGCCACUUAUAAAUUAUCCAGUAGCGUUUUCUAAUAGCCAUAGAAUGUUACAUAUAUGUAAUAAAUUUGCCAACAAUAGCAUUUUUUUGUGCUGUAAAUAUAAUAUGGUAGCACUUUCCGGAUGCUAUACAUAAGAGAAUGAUAGCAUUUCUA
rnacentral:lncRNA from 1 species